AGAAGAUGGCAGUUGGCAUGUGUCCUUCACUUUGACAACUCUACUUCAGCUUUAUGCAGCUCAGUACAUCUUUACUACCACAGCAAGUGCUCUUACUGCUCUUGCACACAUGGAGCUGUACCCAGGAAGGUAGAGUGAUGGCAUGCAAAGCUACUCACAAUCUAAUCCUCUAUAGCUCUUACCAUGCCAAAAUCAAGAACAAAGA
rnacentral:lncRNA from 1 species